rnacentral:rRNA from 1 species
GCCAGACUCCUACGGGAGGCAGCAGUGGGGAAUAUUGGGCAAUGGGCGCAAGCCUGACCCAGCAACGCCGCGUGAAGGAAGAAGGCUUUCGGGUUGUAAACUUCUUUUCUCAGGGACGAAGCAAGUGACGGUACCUGAGGAAUAAGCCACGGCUAACUACGUGCCAGCAGCCGCGGUAAUACGUAGGUGGCAAGCGUUAUCCGGAUUUACUGGGUGUAAAGGGCGUGUAGGCGGGAAAGCAAGUCAGAUGUGAAAACCACGGUCUCAACCUGUGGCCUACAUUUGAAACUGUAGUUCUUGAGUACUGGAGAGGCAGACGGAAUUCCUAGUGUAGCGGUGAAAUGCGUAGAUAUUAGGAGGAACACCAGUGGCGAAGGCGGUCUGUUGGACAGCAACUGACGCUGAGGCGCGAAAGCGUGGGGAGCAAACAGGAUUAGAUACCCCUGUA